rnacentral:rRNA from 1 species
UACGUAGGGGGGCUAGCGUUGUCCGGAAUCAUUGGGCGUAAAGAGCGUGUAGGCGGUCCGGUAAGUCCGCUGUGAAAGUCGGGGGGCUCAACCCUCGAAUGCCGGUGGAUACUGUCGGGCUAGAGUACGGAAGAGGCGAGUGGAAUUCCUGGUGUAGCGGUGGAAUGCGCAGAUAUCAGGAGGAACACCAAUAGCGAAGGCAGCUCGCUGGGACGUUACUGACACUGAGGCGCGAAAGCGUGGGGAGCGAACAGG